rnacentral:rRNA from 1 species
UAUUUAUUUUAUUAUGUUUAUUUUUUGUUUAUUUAAUUAUUUAAUAAAAAUAAUUUUGUUGAAUUUUGUCUUAGUAUAUUUUGUAGAAUUGAUUUUUUAGAUUAUAGCUUAUUGGUAAUGUAAUUGUUUUAUGAAAUAUUAUUUUAAAUUUUUAAAAGUAGAUUUUAUUUAUUGUACCUUUUGUAUCAGGGUUUAUCAAAAUUUUAGUAUUUAUUUUACUUGUCUCGAUUUGGGUUGAUUUAUAAAUAAUUUAUAGUUAAUGUAUCAUAAUUAUUAUUAAAUUAUUUAUAGAAAUGAGAUGUUAAUCGUUUCCCAAGAUAUCUAGUUUCUUAAGAAAAAAUUUAAUUUUUUGAAGUUAAUUGUUUCUAUUUAAUUUUUUAAGUAUAAAUAUUAACUUAUUUAUUCUUUAAGGGAUAAGCUUUGAAGUUAAUAACCUAUAAUUUGUUUUAAUAAAAUAUAAUAGUAAGCUUUAGACCAGCUAUCUUUAAGAUUACGUUUUAGUUCAUUAUUUUUUAUUUUGAUUUUAUAAUUAUUUUAGGUUUUUUAUUAAGAUUAUUUAUUUAAUUUUAAAAUUUUUGUAAUAAUGAUAGAAUUAGUAUAUUUAUUUGUAGAUAAUUUUUACCUUGUGAAUUUAUUAUAAGGAACUAGGC